AAUGAACGUUGGCGGCGUGGAUUAGGCAUGCAAGUCGAGCGAGAACCGUAGCAAUACGGGGACAGCGGCGAAAGGGAGAGUAACACGUGGAUACCUACCCUCAGGUUCAGGAUAGCUGCGGGAAACUGCAGGUAAUACUGAAUAACAUCUCCGGAUCAAAGGUGUGAUUCCGCCCGGGGAGGGGUCCGCGUCCUAUUAGCUAGUUGGCGAGGUAACGGCUCACCAAGGCGACGAUGGGUAUGGGGUGUGAGAGCAUGCCCCCACUCACUGGGACUGAGACACUGCCCAGACACCUACGGGUGGCUGCAGUCGAGAAUCUUCGGCAAUGGGGGAAACCCUGACCGAGCGACGCCGCGUGCGAGAUGAAGGCCUUCGGGUUGUAAAUCGCUGUCAGAGGGGAGGAAAUGCCGGUGGGUUCUCCCAUCGGUUUGACCUAUCCUCAGAGGAAGGACGGGCUAAGUUCGUGCCAGCCGCCGCGGUAACAC
rnacentral:rRNA from 1 species